rnacentral:rRNA from 1 species
UGGGGAAUAUUGCGCAAUGGGGGGAACCCUGACGCAGCAACGCCGCGUGGAGGAAGAAGGUCUUCGGAUUGUAAACUCCUGUCUUCUGGGACGAAAAAUGACGGUACCAGAGGAGGAAGCCACGGCUAACUACGUGCCAGCAGCCGCGGUAAUACGUAGGUGGCGAGCGUUGUCCGGAAUUACUGGGCGUAAAGGGCGUGCAGGCGGUUUUUUAAGUCAGAUGUGAAACCCCGGGGCUUAACUCCGGGAUUGCAUUUGAAACUGAAGGGCUUGAGUGCAGGAGAGGUAAGUGGAAUUCCUAGUGUAGCGGUGAAAUGCGUAGAUAUUAGGAGGAACACCAGUGGCGAAGGCGACUUACUGGACUGUAACUGACGCUGAGGCGCGAAAGCGUGGGGAGCAAACAGG